rnacentral:rRNA from 1 species
UCAAGUGAAGAAGCGCAUACGGUGGAUGCCUUGGCAGUCAGAGGCGAUGAAAGACGUGGUAGCCUGCGAAAAGCUUCGGGGAGUCGGCAAACAGACUUUGAUCCGGAGAUGUCUGAAUGGGGGAACCCAGCCAUCAUAAGAUGGUUAUCUUGUACUGAAUACAUAGGUGCAAGAGGCGAACCAGGGGAACUGAAACAUCUAAGUACCCUGAGGAAAAGAAAUCAACCGAGAUUCCCUUAGUAGUGGCGAGCGAACGGGGACUAGCCCUUAAGUGGCUUUGAGAUUAGCGGAACGCUCUGGAAAGUGCGGCCAUAGUGGGUGAUAGCCCUGUACGCGAAAAUCUCUUAGUCAUGAAAUCGAGUAGGACGGAGCACGAGAAACUUUGUCUGAAUAUGGGGGGACCAUCCUCCAAGGCUAAAUACUACUGACUGACCGAUAGUGAACUAGUACCGUGAGGGAAAGGCGAAAAGAACCCCGGAGAGGGGAGUGAAAUAGAUCCUGAAACCGUAUGCGUACAAGCAGUGGGAGCCUACUUUGUUAGGUGACUGCGUACCUUUUGUAUAAUGGGUCAGCGACUUAUUUUCAGUGGCGAGCUUAACCGAAUAGGGGAGGCGUAGCGAAAGCGAGUCUUAAUAGGGCGUCUAGUCGCUGGGAAUAGACCCGAAACCGGGCGAUCUAUCCAUGGGCAGGUUGAAGGUUGGGUAACACUAACUGGAGGACCGAACCGACUACCGUUGAAAAGUUAGCGGAUGACCUGUGGAUCGGAGUGAAAGGCUAAUCAAGCUCGGAGAUAGCUGGUUCUCCUCGAAAGCUAUUUAGGUAGCGCCUCAUGUAUCACUGUAGGGGGUAGAGCACUGUUUCGGCUAGGGGGUCAUCCCGACUUACCAAACCGAUGCAAACUCCGAAUACCUACAAGUGCCGAGCAUGGGAGACACACGGCGGGUGCUAACGUCCGUCGUGAAAAGGGAAACAACCCAGACCGUCAGCUAAGGUCCCAAAGUUAUGGUUAAGUGGGAAACGAUGUGGGAAGGCUUAGACAGCUAGGAGGUUGGCUUAGAAGCAGCCACCCUUUAAAGAAAGCGUAAUAGCUCACUAGUCGAGUCGGCCUGCGCGGAAGAUGUAACGGGGCUCAAACCAUACACCGAAGCUACGGGUAUCACGUAAGUGAUGCGGUAGAGGAGCGUUCUGUAAGCCUGUGAAGGUGAGUUGAGAAGCUUGCUGGAGGUAUCAGAAGUGCGAAUGCUGACAUGAGUAACGACAAUGGGUGUGAAAAACACCCACGCCGAAAGACCAAGGUUUCCUGCGCAACGUUAAUCGACGCAGGGUUAGUCGGUCCCUAAGGCGAGGCUGAAAAGCGUAGUCGAUGGAAAACAGGUUAAUAUUCCUGUACUUCUGGUUAUUGCGAUGGAGGGACGGAGAAGGCUAGGCCAGCUUGGCGUUGGUUGUCCAAGUUUAAGGUGGUAGGCUGAGAUCUUAGGUAAAUCCGGGAUCUUAAGGCCGAGAGCUGAUGACGAGCUAACUUUUAGUUAGCGAAGUGGUUGAUGCCAUGCUUCCAAGAAAAGCUUCUAAGCUUCAGGUAACCAGGAACCGUACCCCAAACCGACACAGGUGGUUGGGUAGAGAAUACCAAGGCGCUUGAGAGAACUCGGGUGAAGGAACUAGGCAAAAUGGCACCGUAACUUCGGGAGAAGGUGCGCCGGUGAGGGUGAAGGACUUGCUCCGUAAGCUCAUGCCGGUCGAAGAUACCAGGCCGCUGCGACUGUUUAUUAAAAACACAGCACUCUGCAAACACGAAAGUGGACGUAUAGGGUGUGACGCCUGCCCGGUGCCGGAAGGUUAAUUGAUGGGGUUAGCUAACGCGAAGCUCUUGAUCGAAGCCCCGGUAAACGGCGGCCGUAACUAUAACGGUCCUAAGGUAGCGAAAUUCCUUGUCGGGUAAGUUCCGACCUGCACGAAUGGCGUAACGAUGGCGGCGCUGUCUCCACCCGAGACUCAGUGAAAUUGAAAUCGCUGUGAAGAUGCAGUGUAUCCGCGGCUAGACGGAAAGACCCCGUGAACCUUUACUAUAGCUUUGCACUGGACUUUGAAUUUGCUUGUGUAGGAUAGGUGGGAGGCUUUGAAGCGUGGACGCCAGUUCGCGUGGAGCCAUCCUUGAAAUACCACCCUGGCAACUUUGAGGUUCUAACUCAGGUCCGUUAUCCGGAUCGAGGACAGUGUAUGGUGGGUAGUUUGACUGGGGCGGUCUCCUCCUAAAGAGUAACGGAGGAGUACGAAGGUGCGCUCAGACCGGUCGGAAAUCGGUCGUAGAGUAUAAAGGCAAAAGCGCGCUUGACUGCGAGACAGACACGUCGAGCAGGUACGAAAGUAGGUCUUAGUGAUCCGGUGGUUCUGUAUGGAAGGGCCAUCGCUCAACGGAUAAAAGGUACUCCGGGGAUAACAGGCUGAUACCGCCCAAGAGUUCAUAUCGACGGCGGUGUUUGGCACCUCGAUGUCGGCUCAUCACAUCCUGGGGCUGAAGCCGGUCCCAAGGGUAUGGCUGUUCGCCAUUUAAAGUGGUACGCGAGCUGGGUUUAGAACGUCGUGAGACAGUUCGGUCCCUAUCUGCCGUGGACGUUUGAGAUUUGAGAGGGGCUGCUCCUAGUACGAGAGGACCGGAGUGGACGAACCUCUGGUGUUCCGGUUGUCACGCCAGUGGCAUUGCCGGGUAGCUAUGUUCGGAAUAGAUAACCGCUGAAAGCAUCUAAGCGGGAAACUAGCCUCAAGAUGAGAUCUCACUGGAACCUUGAGUUCCCUGAAGGGCCGUCGAAGACUACGACGUUGAUAGGUUGGGUGUGUAAGCGCUGUGAGGCGUUGAGCUAACCAAUACUAAUUGCCCGUGAGGCUUGACCAU